rnacentral:rRNA from 1 species
GAUGAACGCUAGCGGGAGGCCUAACACAUGCAAGCCGAGCGGUAGAGAUCUUUCGGGAUCUUGAGAGCGGCGUACGGGUGCGGAACACGUGUGCAACCUGCCUUUAUCAGGGGGAUAGCCUUUCGAAAGGAAGAUUAAUACCCCAUAAUAUUUAGAAUGGCAUCAUUUUAAAUUGAAAACUCCGGUGGAUAGAGAUGGGCACGCGCAAGAUUAGAUAGUUGGUAGGGUAACGGCCUACCAAGUCUGCGAUCUUUAGGGGGCCUGAGAGGGUGAUCCCCCACACUGGUACUGAGACACGGACCAGACUCCUACGGGAGGCAGCAGUGAGGAAUAUUGGGCAAUGGGUGCGAGCCUGAUCCAGCCAUCCCGCGUGAAGGAUGACGGCCCUAUGGGUUGUAAACUUCUUUUGUAUAGGGAUAAACCUAGAUACGUGUAUCUAGCUGAAGGUACUAUACGAAUAAGCACCGGCUAACUCCGUGCCAGCAGCAGCCGCAG